rnacentral:rRNA from 1 species
GACGAACGCUGGCGGCGUGCUUAACACAUGCAAGUCGAACGGAAAGGCCCCUUUGGGGGUCCUCGAGUGGCGAACGGGUGAGUAACACGUGAGUAACCUGCCCUUGACUUCGGGAUAACUUCAGGAAACUGGGGCUAAUACCGGAUAGGAAUCCUUGCUGCAUGGUGGGGGUUGGAAAGCUUCGGCGGUUUUGGAUGGACUCGCGGCUUAUCAGCUUGUUGGUGGGGUAGUGGCUUACCAAGGCUUUGACGGGUAGCCGGCCUGAGAGGGCGACCGGCCACAUUGGGACUGAGAGACGGCCCAGACGCCUACGGGAGGAAGCAGUGGGGAAUAUUGCACAAUGGGCGGAAGCCUGAUGCAGCAACGCCGCGUGCGGGAUGACGGCCUUCGGGUUGUAAAACGCUUUCAGCAGGGGCGAAGCUUGUGGUGACGGUACCUGCAGAAGAAGCACCGGCUAACUACGUG